AAGCCAGCCAAUUAAUCUGUUCACAUGAAUGUGUUUCUGCAGAAAUUUAGAAACAGCUGGCAAUAGCGAUGCCAUUUUAUGAGCCAUAAGGACAACUGAAGUCACUGAGCUCAAAACAGCUACAAUA
ensembl:snoRNA